rnacentral:rRNA from 1 species
AACGUAGGACGCAAGCGUUAUCCGGAGUUACUGGGCGUAAAGGGCUCGUAGGUGGCCAACUAAGUCAGACGUGAAAUCCCUCGGCUUAACCGGGGAACUGCGUCUGAUACUGGAUGGCUUGAGUUCGGGAGAGGGAUGCGGAAUUCCGGGUGUAGCGGUGGAAUGCGUAGAGAGUCCGGAAGAACACCGGUGGCGAAGGCGGUCUGCUGGGCAGUAGCUGGACGCUGAUGCGCGACAGCGUGGGGAGCAACAGG